CUAUAUAUACCCUGUAGAACCGAAUUUGUGUGGUCUCCUCAUAGUCACAGAUUCGAUUCUAGGGGAAUAUAUGGU
rnacentral:pre_miRNA from 1 species